UGUUUCCAUGCUACAGGCAGCAGCUCAAGGGGCCAUUGCUGCCAAGGUUCCACAGGGCCACGUGGCAGCAGGUGGAGAUCCCUGAGAACAGCCUGUCACAGGGGCUGCACAGCCCACGGGGCUGGCAGGGCUCUGGGAGCCCAGCGCCUGCUCUGCCAGGGUGCCUGCUCUGUCCUCCUGGCUUUGCGGUCUGGAGGAGGAAAGCACGAACUGUUCCCUGCUAAUACCCAGCAGCAAAGGGCAGAGGACCAAGGAAUGGAAAAAUGGAAGAAAGUGAUUCAUAAACCCAAUCAAUGGCAUCAUCCUAGUUGUGUACUAGAAGAUGGGCCUCAGUAUGUGCACUCACAAGCCCUGGGUCUUAUGGCCAUAGGAUAAGCCUAUUCCAUCAGGGAAGGAAAGGCAAAUUUUCACUAAUUUUGCUGAUGGAAAGCAAAGUUAACCAAUGCUGGUUAACUGCUGCCAGCUGUCUAUAAGAACAUUACUUAAUAAACAUCUUUCCUAGA